GACGAACGCUGGCGGCGUGCCUAAUACAUGCAAGUCGAGCGGACCAAAGGGAGCUUGCUCCUGGAGGUCAGCGGCGAACGGGUGAGUAGCACGUGGGCAACCUGCCUGUAAGACUGGGAUAACAUCGAGAAAUCGGUGCUAAUACCGGAUAAUAAAAAGAACUGCAUGGUUCUUUUUUGAAAGAUGGUUUCGGCUAUCACUUACAGAUGGCCGCGGCGCAUUAGCUAGUUGGUGAGGUAACGGCUCACCAAGGCAACGAUGCGUAGCCGACCUGAGAGGGUGAUCGGCCACACUGGGACUGAGACACGGCCCAGACUCCUACGGGAGGCAGCAGUAGGGAAUCUUCCGCAAUGGACGAAAGUCUGACGGAGCAACGCCGCGUGAGUGAUGAAGGUUUUCGGAUCGUAAAACUCUGUUGUUAGGGAAGAACAAGUGCCGUUCGAAAGGGCGGCACCUUGACGGUACCUAACGAGAAAGCCACGGCUAACUAUGUGCCAGCAG
rnacentral:rRNA from 1 species